rnacentral:rRNA from 1 species
UACGUAGGGGGCAAGCGUUGUCCGGAAUCAUUGGGCGUAAAGCGCGUGUAGGCGGUCCGGUAAGUCCGCUGUGAAAGUCGGGGGCUCAACCCUUGAAAGCCGGUGGAAACUGUCGGGCUAGAGUACGGAAGAGGCGAGUGGAAUUCCUGGUAUAGCGGUGAAAUGCGCAGAUAUCAGGAGGAACACCAAUUGCGAAGGCAGCUCGCUGGGACGUUACUGACGCUGAGACGCGAAAGCGUGGGGAGCAAACAGG